UACGUAGGGUGCGAGCGUUAAUCGGCAUUACUGGGCGUAAAGCGUGCGCAGGCGGUCUGUUAAGACCGAUGUGAAAUCCCCGGGCUUAACCUGGGAACUGCAUUGGUGACUGGCAGGCUUUGAGUGUGGCAGAGGGAGGUAGAAUUCCACGUGUAGCAGUGAAAUGCGUAGAGAUGUGGAGGAAUACCGAUGGCGAAGGCAGCCUCCUGGGCCAACACUGACGCUCAUGCACGAAAGCGUGGGGAGCAAACAGG
rnacentral:rRNA from 1 species